UACGUAGGGGGCAAGCGUUGUCCGGAAUCAUUGGGCGUAAAGCGCGUGUAGGCGGCUCGGUAAGUCCGCUGUGAAAGUCCAGGGCUCAACCCUGGAAUGCCGGUGGAAACUGUCGAGCUCGAGUCCGGAAGAGGCGAGUGGAAUUCCUGGUGUAGCGGUGAAAUGCGCAGAUAUCAGGAGGAACACCAAUGGCGAAGGCAGCUCGCUGGGACGGUACUGACGCUGAGACGCGAAAGCGUGGGGAGCAAACAGG
rnacentral:rRNA from 1 species